rnacentral:rRNA from 1 species
UACAGAGGGUGCGAGCGUUACUCGGAAUUACUGGGCGUAAAGCGCGCGUAGGCGGCUUUGCAAGUCGGGUGUGAAAUCCCCAGGCUUAACCUGGGAACUGCAUUCGAGACUGCAUUGCUAGAGUAUGGGAGAGGGAAGUGGAAUUUCCGGUGUAGCGGUGAAAUGCGUAGAUAUCGGAAGGAACAUCAGUGGCGAAAGCGGUUCUCUGGGACGGUACUGACGCUGAGACACGAAAGCGUGGGGAGCAAACAGG